AUGAACAACCCAGUAAAGCUAAAAAAGCAGAGCCUCCCCCUCGUACCUUUUGCAUCAUGAUUUAGCAAGUAACAGUCAAGCAAAAAGCAUUUUAGUUUGACCCCCCGAAACCCAAGUGAGCUACUCCAAGACAACCCUAAACCUAGGGUAAACCCGUCUCUGUGGCAAAAGAGUGGGAAGAGCUUCGAGUAGGGGUGACAGACCUAUCGAACUUGGUAAUAGCUGGUUGCUUGAGAAAUGAAUAGAAGUUCUGCUUCUUAAAUUCUUCCCCCUUUUGGUUACACAGCCCUACCACAGACAAAAGAAAAUUAAGAAAGUUAAUCAAAUGGGGUACAGCCCCUUUGAAACAAGAUACAACUUUUUCAGGAGGAUAAAGAUCAUACUUCAUCAAGGUACCUAUGUCUUGGUGGGCCUAAAAGCAGCCAUCCACUCAGAAAGCGUUAAAGCUCUAACAUUACUACCUCCCUAAUACUGAUAACAAAUCUUAACCCCCUAACCAUAUCAAGCCAUUCCAUAAAAACAUGGAAGUGAUUAUGCUAAAAUGAGUAACAAGAGAGCUCGCCUCUCUCCCCGCACACGUGUAAAUCGGAACGGACCCCCCACCGAAACUUAACGGGCCCAAACCAAGAGGGCAUUGGAUGGUUUAUACUAUACUAGAAAACUACCCAUAACUUUGCCGUUAACCCCACACUGGUGUGCUCUUAAAGGAAAGGUUCAAAGGAAAAGAAGGAACUCGGCAAACACACUCUAAGCCUCGCCUGUUUACCAAAAACAUCGCCUCUUGUUUACUUCACAUAAGAGGUCCCGCCUGCCCUGUGACCCCUGGUUUAACGGCCGCGGUAUUUUGACCGUGCAAAGGUAGCGCAAUCACUUGCCCCUUAAAUGAGGGCCCGUAUGAAUGGCACAACGAGGGCUUAACUGUCUCCUUUUCCCAACCAAUGAAAUUGAUCUUCCCGUGCAGAAGCGGGAAUACCAACAUAAGACGAGAAGACCCUAUGGAGCUUUAGACACCAGAACAGACCAUGUUGACUACCCCCUAAAAUAGGUAAUAAUUAUUGAACCCUGUUCCCCGUCUUUGGUUGGGGCGACCACGGGGAACAAGAAAACCCCCACGUGGACUGAGAGCACACCACUCCUACAACUACGAGCCACAGCUCUAAACUACAGAAUUUCUGACCAAAAAGAUCCGGCAAUGCCGAUCAACGGACCCAGUUACCCUAGGGAUAACAGCGCAAUCCUCUUUAAGAGUCCAUAUCGACAAGAGGGUUUACGACCUCGAUGUUGGAUCAAGACAUCCUAAUGGUGCAACCGCUAUUAAGGGUUCGUUUGUUCAACGAUUAAAGUCUU
rnacentral:rRNA from 1 species